rnacentral:tRNA from 6 species
GGAGGGGUGGGUGAGUGGCUGAAACCAGCAGUUUGCUAAACUGCCGUACUGGUAACGGUACCGGGGGUUCGAAUCCCCCCUCCUCCG